GCCUGGUGGCUCAGUCGGUUGAGCGUCCGACUUUGGCUCAGGUCAUGAUCUCACAGUUUGUGGGUUCGAGCCCCGCAUCGGGCC
rnacentral:tRNA from 1 species